AGCGGGAAGCCUGCUUCGAGAUGAGGACUCCCACCCACUUGAUGGGGUAAGGCUCCCAGUAGACGACUGGGUUGAUAGGCCGGAUCUGGAAGCCAGGUAACUGGUGGAGGUGACCGGUACUAAUAGGCCGAGGGCUUGUCCUCAGUUG
rnacentral:rRNA from 1 species